rnacentral:rRNA from 1 species
UACGUAGGGUGCGAGCGUUAAUCGGAAUUACUGGGCGUAAAGCGUGCGCAGGCGGUUCGUCGUGUCCGAUGUGAAAGCCCCGGGCUCAACCUGGGAAUGGCAUUGGAAACUGGCGGGCUCGAGUGUGGCAGAGGGGGGUGGAAUUCCGCGUGUAGCAGUGAAAUGCGUAGAGAUGCGGAGGAACACCGAUGGCGAAGGCAGCCCCCUGGGCUAACACUGACGCUCAGGCACGAAAGCGUGGGGAGCAAACAGG